GGGUCAGUAGGUCGGUCGUGCCACCGGUACGUACUGGUCUCACUGAUUCCUCCUUCCUGAAGAACCGUAAUGCCAUUAAUUUGGUGUCGCGGGGAAACAGGACUGUUACUUUGAAAAAAUUAGAGUGUUUAAAGCAAGCUAACGCUUGAAUACAUUAGCAUGGAAUAAUGAAAUAGGACGAUCGAUCCUAUUUUGUUGGUUUCUAGGAUUGACGUA
rnacentral:rRNA from 1 species